AUUUGCAUAAUUGUCAACAAUGCAGGUGUCCUGAUAGUUUAUUUGAUUAUUAUGGGUGAUGUUAUGUCUGGUUCGGUUCGUCAUAUUGGGGUUUUCGAUCAGUGGUUAGGACAUGGUUUUUGGGAUCAUAGGAAGUUAUUGGUUUUGGUUGUUAUGGUUGUUUUUCUUGCUCCACUUUGCGUGUUAGAUAGGAUUGAUUCAUUGAGCAUGACUUCGGCUGCUUCGGUAGCUCUCGCUGUUGUUUUCGUUGUGGUUUGCUUUGCUGUUGCAUUCAUUAAGCUUAUUGAAGGGAAGAUAGAGGCUCCAAGGAUGAGCCCAGAUUUUGGAUCGAAAAUGGCAAUUUUGGAUUUACUAGUAGUUAUCCCUAUUAUGACCAAUGCAUAUGUUUGCCAUUUCAAUGUUCAACCUAUAUACAAUGAGCUCGAAGGGAGAUCUCCUCAAAAGAUGAAUCAGGUGGGAAGGAUCACAACUGUUCUUUGUGUUGUGGUCUAUGCUUCAACAGCA
rnacentral:lncRNA from 1 species